AUGCAGCUCAACAGAGCUUUUGCAUUCCUUUGCCUGGUGAUUUCAGUGGGUGCGCAGAGGAGUCACAGACUGACGUGCUAUCUGGAUGUUUUAACACAGCACACACAUGAAGGGCCGUGCUCUCACAUCAUCCUCCCCUUGACCUCCACUGAUGGCGACCUUUACCUCCAAAGCUUGUCGGAUGAUGACAGCGUUACUCUUAGAAAAAUGAAGGAGAGAAAUCCAGCUUUGAAGAUUUUGCUUGGAUUGGAAGUCAGAUCAUCAAGGUAUGUGGACUUCAUUUCCAUUCUGCCUCCUCAGCUCAAAAAAGAUGGACCAUAUAUGGACCAGCAAGUUGACCUACAAAAGCUCAAUCUAGCUAUGCCUGCUUUUCUACGCCGGUCACGAGGAAGGCAUCACCAUGGGGAUCACUUCAAGCAUGAUGACAUGAAUACAGAGACAGGAAAGAAGGAUCACAUCCAUGUUUUGGGCUUAUACCUGGGCGAUCAGGUGUGUCAGGCCAUUAAAAGUGGACAAGAGCGAUUCAUUACUUUAACAAGUCUCUCAGAUGAGCAAACUCUUGUUGCGGAGGUGCUCCAGAAAGGCUUUGGUGGCAUAGCGGUUGUCUUCAUAGAUCUGGACGUCUUCUAUAACUCCAUAUGUGCACACCUUACUCAGGAUGAACAAGUGAUUGUUGAAUCAAAGGUGAUUUUGCAUUCACAUCAUGGACACAGACAUCAUGAGCAUGGUGGUCAUCAUCACAGCAAGAACCAUCACCACAGCCGCCACCACCAUCAUCACUCUCUUCUUCCUUAUGGCAGCCAUGGUCACCAACUCCAUGGUCACUAUCACCAUGGACAUCAUCAACAUGGACAUGGGCAUCAUCACCAUGGACAUCAUCACCAUGGACAUCAUCACCAUGGUCGCCGUCAUCACCAUCACCACCACCAUCUUCCAAUAAUUCCUCAAAGCAACAUAACCAUGGAAGAACGGCAUGGUGUGGAGUGAUCUUAAUAUGUUAUACAUAAAUUUCAUCUGAUGAAUGUUAAUGAGGGACGUCCUAGAAAUUUGGUGUUUUAAGCUUGCCAGGUUCCUUUAUAUAUAUAUAUCCCAAGCUCUUAUAUAUAUAUAUAAUCAUACAUUUUCCACACGAAGUUCUUAUUAGUUUAGUAAAUCUGAAUGUUGUUUCUUUGAUUCCUAUUUUUGUCUUAUAAUAAUAUAAUAAUUGUGGAGGUAAUGUUAAAAAUUAUGGUAAAUGAUAAAUAAUUUACCAUUUAAAUGCAUAUAAAUACUAUAUAUAAUGUAUAAAUACAAUAUGAUACAUAUUUUUAAUUAGAUUAAUGAGAAUUAGACUUUUUGCAUUAUAGCGUUGGCAAUGAUAUUGCAGUAUAGUAAUGUGAAUACAUUUUUUGUAAUACUGCAAUGAGAAUAAUAUCUUAUUUUCUGCAUUGUAGUACUGAGAAUUAAGAUUUCUUUGCAUUCCAAUAAUUUGGACUAAUUUCGUUUUGCACUAUGGUAAUGAGGUUUUUGUUUUGCAUGAAGUUUUCACAUUUUUACUAAUUGCUUGUUAUGAGAACUUCACAAAUCAUAUGAUUUUUUUCAGUGUUAAAACAAGCUUAUUGUGUGUCAGAGCAGAUCGAUGCAGCAUUAUGAAAUAAAUAUGUAGCCUAAAAGUUUCA
ensembl:lncRNA